rnacentral:rRNA from 1 species
UACGGAGGGUGCGAGCGUUGUCCGGAAUCACUGGGCGUAAAGGGCGCGUAGGCGGCAUGCCAAGCGUGUGGUGAAAGCCCGGGGCUCAACCCCGGGUCGGCCGUGCGGACUGGCGUGCUCGAGCACUGUAGGGGCGGGUGGAAUUCCCGGUGUAGCGGUGGAAUGCGUAGAGAUCGGGAAGAACAUCAGUGGCGAAGGCGGCCUGCUGGGCUGUUGCUGACGCUGAGGCGCGACAGCGUGGGGAGCAAACAGG